ACCCCUUUGGUUUCCCAUUUCCCAAAUCCCAAACUCCAACCAUGGCUUGGCGCGGUGGAUCGUCCCUGUCGAGAUCUCUGAUCUCCGCCGCAAGAACCUCCACCGUCCGAUCACCUCCGUCGAUCUCAUCCCUCCCUCGCUCUCCUCCGCUCCGUAAUAUGGCCUCCGCCACUCGCCGGACUCUCUUCUCUCUCCCCGCCAAUGUGGGACAGCUGGCCUGCGCUCAGUCGCUGCUGCCGUUCCACAGCGCCGUCGCCUCCGUUCGUAUGACCAGUCACAUCUCCGGCGAAGUGCGCGCUUUCUGCGAGUUGUCUCAGGGUACCUCCAUUGAUCCCUCGUAAUUGUACUUGAGCAUACUUGGGUUGGAUCAACACAGCAAGAGUUGCUGCAUUAGGUGGGGCUAGUAGUAAUCCAAGAGCAGAAGGAUUCCGUGCUCCUUAAUCUUGAUAAGGUUGCGUAGGAAGUGAUGUCAAAGUGUAGUGGAUAAGUUCUUUCACAACUAUUUUGUACUUUUUGUUAUAAGAUAUUUGACUUGUAGAGGCUGUUAUCUUUAAAUGACAAGAUCAUUCAAUUUACUUGUCUGAUCAUAUAUUUUUUUCUUCUUCGUAUUUAUUGUGUCCAACUUUUGAGAUCAAAAGAGAAAUAAAUUUAUUAUGUUCAAUUGGUCUC